rnacentral:rRNA from 1 species
GACGGAGGAUGCAAGUGUUAUCCGGAAUCACUGGGCGUAAAGCGUCUGUAGGUGGUCAAAUAAGUCAACUGUUAAAUCUUGAGGCUCAACCUCAAAAUCGCAGUCGAAACUAUUAGACUAGAGUAUAGUAGGGGUAAAGGGAAUUUCCAGUGGAGCGGUGAAAUGCGUAGAUAUUGGAAAGAACACCGAUGGCGAAGGCACUUUACUGGGCUAUUACUAACACUCAGAGACGAAAGCUAGGGUAGCGAACGGG